rnacentral:rRNA from 1 species
GAUGGAGGCCUUCGGGUUGUAAACCUCUUUUGUUUGGGAGCAAGCCUUCGGGUGAGUGUACCUUUCGAAUAAGCGCCGGCUAACUACGUGCCAGCAGCCGCGGUAAUACGUAGGGCGCACGCGUUAUCCGGAUUUAUUGGGCGUAAAGGGCUCGUAGGCGGCUCGUCGCGUCCGGUGUGAAAGUCCAUCGCUUAUCGGUGGAUCUGCGCCGGGUACGGGCGGGCUGGAGUGCGGUAGGGGAGACUGGAAUUCCCGGUGUAACGGUGGAAUGUGUAGAUAUCGGGAAGAACACCGAUGGCGAAGGC